CAAGGGUGCACUCGGCAGCUAGAGGGCAGGCUCAUUUUUCCUUUAAAACUUGGGAAUCACUUCCUCACAGCUGCAGUGACUGCCAGAGUAUCCAAGAGAAGUUGCUAAGAGAAAAGGAAUGUGAAGCAAGCUAAGAAGUCUCUGCAGAGUAUUGUCUCAGCAGUGCCUCCCAGUAAAAACCUCAUGGGCAUCCUUGAUGGGCAGCAACAUGGGAGAAGCCUACCAGAGAAACAAGGCUUGGUCUGGACCUGAGAACUUCCGUCAGC
rnacentral:lncRNA from 1 species